rnacentral:rRNA from 1 species
UACAGAGGGUGCGAGCGUUAAUCGGAGUUACUGGGCGUAAAGGGCGCGUAGGCGGUUAUAUAAGUGAGAUGUGAAAUCCCUGGGCUUAACCUAGGAACUGCAUCUCAUACUGUAUGACUGGAGUAUUGUAGAGGGUAGUGGAAUUUCCGGUGUAGCGGUGAAAUGCGUAGAGAUCGGAAGGAACACCAGUGGCGAAGGCGGCUACCUGGACAAAUAC